GAUGAAGAACGCAUCGAAAUGCGAUAAGUAAUGUGAAUUGCAGAAUUCAGUGAAUCAUCGAAUCUUUGAACGCACAUUGCGCCCCUCGGUAUUCCGAGGGGCAUGCCUGUUCGAGCGUCAUUAUAACCCUUCAAGCUCAGCUUGGUGUUGGGGCCUGCUGUAACUGGUAGCCCUUAAAAUCAGUGGCAGUGCUAUUAGGCUCUAAGCGUAGUAAUUCUUCUCGCUAUAGUGUGUAGUGAGCGCUUGCCAGAACCCCAAACUUUUAUAUGAUUGACCUCGGAUCAGGUAGGGAUACCCGCUGAACUUAAGCAUAUCAAUAAGCGGAGGA
rnacentral:misc_RNA from 1 species